GCGGGAUCUCACGAGUUCCAGGGGAAUGCCAGGGGAAUCCUGGGAGGAGAAUCUGCCGGGAAACGUGGGUCCCCGAGGCUCCUUCUCUCUGUGUUUUCCAUAAAAACGUCUGGCGCACCCCACCUAAGAAGCAAGCCCCAGUUCUGGUGGAGGCCUUGCUACCCUACUCCCACUCGAGUCACAGUUCAGCGGUUCCUCUUCCAAGGGGCGCAGCGAGAUUUGCCUCGUGGUGAGAACCUGCUGUGUAUCCUGUUUACAAGGUGCUUGGGGAACUUCUACUCAUGAGACAGCACCCCCUAUUACCAGUUUCCAUGGGAGGAUGGAAGCCUAACUUCAGCAAGCCACCUGGCUCUAAGACUGCCUCCUGUCAUAAAUAUGUGAGAAGUUUAUUUUUACUUUUUUAAGGAUUGUUCUGCCUAUCCUAAAAGGAAGAAAGGAGUUGAAAAUCAUGCAGACAGACUCUAAAAAGGCAGAGAUCCUCCAAAACUGCAAUGUAAAUGAUAUGAUAAUGGGGGAAGGAUCGUUUGAGGAUACACAUGACCUUAGUCACCUGUUGGCCCCAGAGAUUUCCCAACCUCACCAGUUUGCCUCACUCUCCUUUGAUAAGUAAUAGGUAUAUUCCGGUUCCAUCACUGCUCAUUACUAUUUAACUGCCUACUCUAACACUAUGAGAAUACCUUUUUACAUACAUAGGGCUUUUAGUUCAAGUCCCUGAUACUAAUAAUGAAUGGCAUUGGUUAA